UCCAGUAGCACCUUAGAGACCAACUAAGUUUGUUCUUGGUAUAAGCUUUUGUGUGCAUGCACACUUCUUUGGAUACCUGAAGAAUACCUGAAGAAGUGUGCAUGCACACGAAAGCUUAUACCAAGAACAAACUUAGUUGGUCUCUAAGGUGCUACUGGA
rnacentral:miRNA from 1 species